UGGUUCGGUCCGCGGGAGUGCGCUGAGUUCAGAGCGAAAAUCUGCGCUGAAUCUGUAUGGCUCAGCAUUGGACUAAUGGCUUAUCCUUCACACACAACUUUUCCGUUUUAACUUCAUCAGUGAAAUGAUUUCAUCACUGACAGCUGCUUGUUUUGGCGUGUUGCACCUCGAAAUUGAGCAAACCAGUUGCCGGUGGCUUUACCUGCUCUGAUAAGGAUAACUUACAGACAACUGCUGCAUGAUACACUGUAACCAGACUGACUUCCCUUUAAACUCACACAGAAGAGCAGAUCAGGACUAAACAUUUAAUGUUACAGGGCAUAAAGUUAGUGAAGCGUUGCGCAGCAGCACAGUGGCUCCCCCCUCAGGCCAGUCGCAGUACUGCAGCAGCACAUCUGCUUCAUGGCCACAAGUCUGAAACUCUGGAGUACAUGACUGUUACCAAACGGUGAGAAGGUAAACUUACAAUCAGGAGGCAGUGAGGUGAUGCAAAAGAGGUUUGACAUGGAGGUCAAAAGUCACCUGAUAACAGGCCCUGAGCUGCAGGACAGUAAGCAGCAAGCGGAGCGGAUGGUGGAGCUGCAGGAGCGUCGGAGAAGUCUGCAGUCGCUGCUUAACACUCGAUUAGCAGAACUCAAACGUGUGUGUCUGCAGGAGGCGGAAUUGACAGGUGAAGUUCCUCAUGAAUAUCCUCUGGAAACCGGAGAGAAAGUCCCUCAUGUGCGGCGCAGGGCCGGUCUGUCCCGCGGCGGCUCCAAACAUAACAUGAAAAAUGAGGAAGAGGACGCCUCUCAGCGCAAGACAAAGAAAACUCUGUUCAGUGGCGCCCUCCGCAGGCACGUCGAUUCAGAACAGCAUCCUCCACACAGCAAACGGACGGUUCACAGAGGAUGCCACACAGAUAACACAGUGAAGUCAGAGAGCAGCUCCACGUCGGAUUCCACCAAUCAGGACACUGAAGACGCCUCCGACGGCCUGUCACCCUCACGUCCCCGGCUGGUCUCGGGGAGCCCAGACAACAGGUUUUCUCGAAAACUCUCCCCUGUGGAGAUCUAUUACGAGAUGAAAACUCGCCGCAACUCUGUGGCCAGCUCAGCCAGCCCGAGUCACUCUCUUCCAAGAAGUAUGUCGAAUCUGGAAGGCAGAAGUGUACCGGCAACUCCACUCUUGUCCCGCAAUGGAAUAACAGGAGUGCACAUCAGGUCAGAAUCAUCUAGCGGCACUGCUGCUGUGAAGCAGUGGUCAGACAAUCCCGAGGCGCCUCAGCAGGUGCCUCUGCAGUCUCAGGAGGGGUCCUCCGCAGGGUCCUACGAGCAAGGGCACAGACGAAGCAAUAGCUCCGAGACGUUACUCGACCGGCACGGCACUGCAGUGGAGGAAGGAGGUCAAAGGUUAGGCAUGCCUGUACGAAACGGCCCGUACAAGAGCUCAGAAGCACUCAUGGACACAAGUUUAAAACAGGCGCAGCGGAGCAGCCCCGAACAGCAGGUAAACGGACACACCGAACUGGCCCGCGUUCGCUCGGCUGCGGGAGGUCGAGGAACGAACGGAGGUGGCGGUUACAGUGAGAUCCUCAUGGAUUAUGUUUGGGGAAAACAACAGAAGAUGCAAGCUCAGCAACAGCAAAGACUUCAGGUCCAAAAUAGUGCAAAAACCCGGCCGUGGCCCGAAGGUCCCAAUGCUCCACCGCCUCCCUACAGGAACGGCUUCCCCCAAUCGCAGCAGCUUAUCCUGGGCAACGGCCCUCCGGCCUACAGCCCGCUAAUGCUGAGAGGGAAGCCCGGCGAGCCUCGGAGGGUCAAAGUGACGCGCACCAAAUCCUGCGGCCCGUUCGUUCCCUUACAGCAGCACCAGCAAGAGUCCAUCCUGCUCUCUGCCUACACCGAAACCAACACCGCCAAUGGUAUCGGCAGUAACGCAAUGCAUAAUCAGCAGACAGACCACCCACACAGACCGCCCCACUACCCAAUCGAGUCCUCCGCACCCACAACCCCCGAUGACCCCACACGCAGCCUACACAAGGCCUUGGCGCUGGAGGGCUUGAGAGACUGGUAUCUGCGGAACGCACUGGGACAGCCAGCCAACGGAGGGAAGGGCAAAGAGGGGACGCAGACUCAGCGCAGGCGUACCACGUCCUCUCUGCACAACUCGCACCCCCAUCCGCCCCUAAAACACCAGCCGCAGUCCUUUCAAACGGACACGUCCUAUCCACAGAUGCCCCAGUCGGCCACAUUUCAUGGUCAUCCUCUACACGGCAGGUAAUUGCAGAAUGAAUUCAAAUCUACAUUCAUAUGACACAGGAACCAUCAGUUAAGAAACCCUUGAUUUCAAAAAAGGUCGAUGGAGCUUUCAUUGUACCAGGAUACCUUUUCAUCUAAAAUGCAGGAGAUGACACUUAAAGAGACCAGUAAUGACAGACCCACGCCAGGCACGCUGGUCUGACACGCAAACAAACAAUCUCACCCACACACACUCAUGCAAACUCAAAGAGACUACAGCAAACACCAGCUUACCUGUGUAUGAAAUGGCAGAGAGAAUGCCAUAGUGGACUUUCAAAGAGACUUUUUGCUUCCUUUCAGCAGUUAGAAUUGAAUAAUUCUGACAGAAAUCAGCCUAGCAUCCUUGUAAUACUAAUAUAUGCUAAGCUACCACUGACAUGGGACAAACACUUGUACUCAAGACCCUUUUCAGCAUGAGAUCAAGCUGUCUUCUAGUUUCACAUCUUUUCUCGGUUCCCGUAGACUUUUUAGAUAGUUCAGUAAAUUUCCCUUUUAAUCAGCAAAAGGUUAGUCAGAUAAAAGAGACGAUAUGUCACCAUAUUUCUAUUGGUAAACAAUAAUGCGAGUUCAUUCUAUCAAAUAUUUCCAGCCUUGGUAUAGAUUUGUCACAAAACAUAUACAAG